UUGCAAGAAUGAGUACUUUUGAAAACUCGGUUAUUGGAGAAUCAAGCUGAAGUGGUUGAAGCGAGCUAGUAAUAACUCACUUUAAAGCAUUUACCAAUUGAAGUCUCACAAGCCUUUUGAUAUUUCGAAAAGGAAGGAAUUAUGCUAGGCACUCAGCAUAAAAAGAACCAUUUUAUAUGAUAAAGGGCAAAGGGAAAUUAAUUUUCUCUCUAUAAUA